rnacentral:lncRNA from 1 species
AGUAUAACCUCCAUUAUAUAACUAUAAUAGCAAAAACACAAACAUGAAAUAUUGUAUCUAAACUAAACCCAAAGUUAAGACACUAAAGGUAAAUUAUCAUUUCGCAAGACCUAAUUAAAUCAACAGUUAAAUGUCUAUAUGGGUAGCCUUGAGGGCAAAAGCUAGUAGGCGGAUAGUAAAAACCUUGCUCUGCAGUUGAGUGUUCACCGGUCCCACCUUUCAUAGACCCACCGGGUUAGCGUAAUGAGAUGCUAGAAGAUGUAUGAGUUGGUAUUACAUUUUUAAGUGAAUCCUGAUAAUAAAUCCACACAAAUAACGUUAUUAACUUAUUACAAAUCAAUUGGAAAAAGUUACCACUAAAGGCAAGCACCAAUUAAGAUCAUACACUUAAAAGAAUUAUUAUUGCACCAAACCAGACAAAGAACAUAUAAUUAAAUUUAGAAAGAAAUUAAAACAAAUAUGAUGUUGUCAAGACAGAGAAGAGAGAGCUAAUGCGCCACACAAAACAAAUUCUAUAAUGACACACCUUAUUCCUCUCAACCAAUGGAGCACGGACAUCUGAUUUCCGACGUCCAUCAAGUGAAUAUACCACUCAAACCUUCUCUAGCCUGCUCUGCUUUAGAAUCCACAAAAAUCAUGACAAAUCAAUAUCAUUGAAAGUUUAAAGAAAUCUACCUAAGUAGUAUAAUAAAAAUAACAUAAAAGAUUAUGAUCAAAAUCGCUUUUGUGAAAAAAUUAGAGUCAUGAGGAUUAUAUUUAUAUGUGUGUAACAAAAUGAAUUUUCACCUGGUCGUGCCACAUCAAGUUCUCCAACUUCUAUGUUUUUUAUGUUAAUCUAUAUGUGUUUAACUGCAGAAGUAGAUCAUGUUAAAGUCAUGAUCAAAAUUGAGAUAAGUAAAUUUGUUGUCCAGGACGUAUGAUUCCCACAUCUUCCCAGUAUCGUUUGAAACAAAGCCAUAUUUAUAUAAGAAAAGAUAAAUGUGUGUGUGAAUCGAGGUAAGUAGUGUGAAGAUAGUUUUCUCAAAUGACAAAUAUUAACCAUAUAACAAUUAGAUGCAUAAAACUUAAAAAGAGUGUACAGCCCAAGAAUCUAAAUCCAUUACUUAUCGACGCAAGAAAUAAUGAGGAUACUAACCUGUUCGAUCAUCGGACGACAAUCAAGAAUUAGAAAUCUGGAGAAGAGAUGAUUAGUAUCAGUUUCAAAUUGAUUUGAAAUCUAGAUCUUGUUAAACAUGACAAAUGAUUUGAAGUACAGGAUAAAAUUGAUCUUCAAGCAAUGGAUCAAAGGUUGCAGGCUCCCUUUCUUUUUAUCCUUUCUAUGGAAUGAUUGAUUUGUAGCAGAAGAUGAAGAUGCCUGGCAGUCGUCUCCGCCAAUAUUACGACCUGCCAAGCAAGUCAACACGAAAUCAUAUUAAUAGCGCACUAACCCCACAAUAUAUUUGCAGUGGAUAUGUGGUGAACACUCACAAAUAUUAUCUCUAUUGUCAAAAACUCAAAGUAUAGGCCUGACAAAAAAAAACUCAAAGUAUAAGGCUUUUGAUUAUCUUACCUAUUGUAUUUUUUUUAUUUUUAAUUCUUUGGCUUCUAUUAUCCUGAUUGUUACUUAUUUAGAAGGCUUUAAAUUGAUUCAGGAUAUUUUUGUUACUUAUUUAAUGUAGAAAGGUACAGAUAAUAUAUGUUUGCAUGAUGAUAUUUAUUGUGUCUAUACGAAUUCUAUGCAUCAUCUAAAUAUCUGCACGAGCUGCACUGAAGCUAAACACCAAAUUGUUUAAGUUAGAAUUCAGAACUUGGUCAUAAUGAUCUGUAAAAAUCACAGUAAUCAUUGUGUACUUUCUAUGGUAUCAUAAGGUUUUGCAGAUAUCCUGAAAUAAAAUAACAAAGCUAGCAAAAGAAAACCUAGGCGCAGAAAAGGAAACCACUUUUCUUUACUUGCUUAUUUCUGUUGGUAAUGUGCAGAGUUAGUACUUUUGCAAUUGCGGUAGGCAGCAACUUUUGCCGCAUUGUUUUCAGUGUAUAGGGAACCUAGAUAUGAGAAAACAUAAUCAAAUUGUAAAUGAUGAUGAGGUACGGAAGUUUUACCAAAUAAUAAUUAUUAUAUAUAAUGUAGUUAUCUAAGCUGAAUUGUCAGUUCUUUGUCAGUACUACAGCUGCUAAAAAUUGAAUACACAAGAAGUUUAUAGUAUUAAUUUUUGAAAAAACUCAAAGUAUAGGCCUGACAAAAAAAAACUCAAAGUAUAGGGAUUUUAAUUAUCUUACCUGUUAUAUUUUGUUUUAUUUUUAAUCAUGUGCCUUCUAUUAUCCUGAUUGUUACUCAUUUAAAAGGCUUUAAAUUGAUUCAGGCUCAUGGACAAACAGUUUCAUUAGUAGAGAGCAUUAUAAGUGAUGCAAGUGUCCCAGAAGGUGAUGUGAAAAGGAUUCGUUUAUGAAGUUCUUGAUCUUGUGCAUAAAUUCUUUCGCACAGAACUGUAAAAUACUAUGAAAAAACUAAUUUGUGUGAAAUAGUCGGGUAUGUGUAAUGUGUAUGGUUGUUAUAUGUAUGUUGCACUUAAGUAUAUGAACUUACCGACACUAUAAAAUUCUGGAAGGCUAUAAAUGCCCCUAAAGUUUAGCCUCUGGAGAAUCUUGAAUAUUUUGGUUUUCUGACGAUUGGAGAAAGUUAAACUUGGUUGUGGAAAUUGCUAAAAGCUACAUUUGCUUGUUAUCCGGACCUUGGAGAGGAAAGAAUGCAGAAUUUGAAGCUAGUUUAGAUAUAAAACAUUAAAACAGUAAGCAAAGUAGAUGUUGUAUAGUUAGAGAAUUGGCGGCAAACCAUUUAGAACCUAUGUCUCAUUUGAACCUGUGUUACAAUCCAUCCCAGAACCUACAUGUCAUUAACAUGGAUAUUUAGAAACAUUAAAAAUCUGAACAAAUGCGAAAAAUAAGGCAUAAGAGCUGUUCUGAAGAGGUUAGUAAUUGUAGAAUAAAGCAAAUUUCUACUGUUUCACCUUUAUUUGAUUCGCUUUCCUUGUAUUUUCAGUUGUGUGAGGAACUGGCCUUGGCGGAAGCUGCACCCAUCAAUAAUAUCAAAAAUAUACAAACCUUAUUUUACAUAAUUCUCUCUGUAGCACCAUACAUGUACAAUUAACUGCACAAAUAAAAAUAAUUUCUCAAAUUUAUAUAUGAAAAUAGUAUCAUAAUGAAAGAAUGCCAAAUUUAUUGAUUUAUUAACAUACCUACAAUAUACAAUUCACUACAGUAUCCAAGAGUGUUAGAGGAGCAUCAGCCUUUGUCCUCC